AAUGAACGCUGGCGGCAGGCCUAACACAUGCAAGUCGAACGGAUCCUUCGGGAUUAGUGGCGGACGGGUGAGUAACGCGUGGGAACAUACCCUUUGGUACGGAAUAGCCUCGGGAAACUGGGAGUAAUACCGUAUGUGGUCGAGAGACGAAAGAUUUAUCGCCAAAGGAUUGGCCCGCGUUGGAUUAGGUAGUUGGUGGGGUAAUGGCCUACCAAGCCGACGAUCCAUAGCUGGUUUGAGAGGAUGAUCAGCCACACUGGGACUGAGACACGGCCCAGACUCCUACGGAGGCAGCAGUGGGGAAUCUUAGACAAUGGGGGAAACCCUGAUCUAGCCAUGCCGUGUGAUCGAUGAAGGCCUUAGGGUUGUAAAGAUCUUUCAGGUGGGAAGAUAAUGACUGUACCACCAGAAGAAGCCCCGGCUAACUCCGUGCCAGCAGCCGCGGUAA
rnacentral:rRNA from 1 species